UCCUCCUGACAUGUCAUCUAGUCCGUCCCAAUUAGAGCACGGUGCUGCGCUCCGGUAAUCAGGGAUCUACGAGGCUCUACUCGUCUUUAUAGUACAAGUGGUACCUGUUACCCAUGUACAAAUGCCACGCUACUGAGGGAGUGGAUGCUCACGCCAGGUUCGAGAUUAGAAUGGACUAUUUCUCUGGGGCUGAGCUGUGCCAAUUAUCCAGGACUUACCUGCCUCACCACCCACUGCACACUUUCCAACCAUUUCUGAUCAGUGGGAUGAACACAAUCCAGAACCACGAGAGGAAAUGGGGAAUUUAAUCAGAUAAGGGGGAUUUAGUUAAUCACAAAUGUAUAUUCGUGUACACCUAUAUUCAGCCAUUGAAGAAUAUCCACAUACAUACAUUAACGGCAUAGGACAGGACGCAUACCCCUCUCUAUGUCAUCAUCCCUCACCCAUCUCUUAUGACUCCCCUCCCCGGCUGGAGAAGGGGUCACCGUAGCACUUGAUCACAGACAGCCCGCUCACGUGACAUCGCACGUGACGCAGGAACCAGGAAGCCACAGACGGGACCCGUGGACGGAGGAGACCGGCGGCUGCUGGAGCUGGACGCGGACCAGAAGUGACUUAGGACACGGACGAGGAAGACACAGGCACCGGAUUGUGGAGAGAAAGACGCUGUCAUCGGCGGCAGGCGGCCAGCUUGCCCCCGGCGGCAGAGAACUCAGCACUCGGGAAACUCAUGGUACUGGCAAGCUGUUUAUCCCAGUGAGCAGAAAAGAUGCAGGAUCCAGGACAGAUCGCAGAGGUCUUCACAGAUCCGGACGUGGGAACUAAUUGUUCCUGGCUGAGGAACCCAGGUACCAGUGCGACUCCGGAACCGCCUUCUCCUUUCACUUACCUAAAUAAUGGUCUUCACAGAUCCGGACGUGGGAACUAAUUGUUCCUGGCUGAGGAACCCAGGUACCAGUGCGACUCCGGAACCGCCUUCUCCUUUCACUUACCUAAAUAAUGAUCCAUCUCCUCUUUGCUUUCUCUAUUGGUUGGAGCACUACAAGGCACAGUCUUCUGCUGUUCUCAAUCUAUACAACGUUUCGUGGACAAUUUAUCAGAUCUUUCAGACAUUCAAAUCUACCCACAUUAGUGAAUGUCUUUCCGCCAUUUCAUCUUGGACUUCAACCCGCCACCUGAAACGCAAUCUUUCCAAAACAGAAUCAGUAAUAUUUUCACCAAACAAUAACAGUUACAGUAUCAACCUGAUAUCUUUAUCGCUGUUGAUAACAUGACAAUUAAUCCCAACUCACAAGCUCGCUGCCUUGGUUUCAUCCUUGACUCUGAACUGUCUUUGUUCCCCACAUUCAGUCUUUUUCCAAAUCCUGCUAACAUACAUUUAAAAAAACAUAUCUAGAGACUAUAACCAUAUCUUACACAAGACACUGCAAAUCUAUAAUUCAUACUUCUACUUGCACAUAAGGCUAUUAACCAAAUGACACCAUCAUACAUCUUUUCGUUUAUCUCAAAAUGUCUCCCAGUUCUACCUCUCUGCUCCUUGCAAGAUAUGCGUCUCUCAUUCACAGAUGGUUAAAGGACGUUUUUUUAAGCUGCCUUUCACUCUGUGGAAUGCCUCCUACACACAACAAGACUUUAAUCUCCAAACCAUCAAGCGUUUCCUGAAAACUCACCUCUUUAGGCAGCUGAUCAAAUUACUGAACCACCUUCGUAACCUCUAUAAGGUAUUCUAGCCACUUACAUCCUUUCUAUACAGGUCACACAUAACUUUACAUAUUUUCUCUUUCUUCACUGAUGCAUCCUGCUGACAUCAGGCCAACAUUUAGCUUGACUGUAACAUACAGGCCACCAAGAACCUUUGCAAUCUGGAUGGCCCAAUUUCCAGCAAUACCCUUGUGUAUCAAAGCCUAUUUCCCUAUAGACUGUAAGCAUGUGAGCAGGGCCCUUUUGCCUCUUUGCUUUCUCUACACCAGGGUGCCAGAUGUUCAUUCUUACACUAAAACAACCACCACAACAUAUACAAAUAUUUACAUAAAUUAAUGCAUGGAUUGGUGGUUUUUCCUUUUACGCUAGUUUGCUCAGGUUAUGUUGAUUUGUAUUCUGGAUACAAAGACAUGCAUCAGAAUAUUCUACUGUUAAGGGUAGGACUAACUGUGGCAGGGUUUGCUCACCAGAGGCAGAGGUUUUGCUGGGCAUGCAUCUUUAGUUUUGGAGAGGGUCUAGUGUGCACUUCCACCACAUCCAGUGGUGAGCAGGUAAUUAGAGGUUCAUACAGCAGAAGCAGGUGACAUAUUGGAGUACAGUAGAGCAAAGUUUUUAUUUGAAGGUAUUGGAGAAAAACAUUAUGGAACAGAGGGCCAGGGUGAGUAGAGAUAUUCAAGAAACCUUACCACUGGCUUGCUGAAGGUCCUGUGGCCAUGUAUAUCCCUGGUCUAAAGAUGAUGAACUGGAGGAGUCCAGGUAUUUGUGUUAAAACAUACCAGGAAUGGCGGAAGAACUUUUCAUUUCCAGAAAAAGAGUUUCCUGUGCAGUAUACAAACAGUAAAAAAGCACUGAUACUGUAGUAUGACUCUCACCAUGCAUACAGAUACUAUAGGGAGCAUGUGCAUGAAUGGCAAUCAUAUUUAAAUAAAUAAGCCCAUUUAACCGCAACCACACCUGACAUUAAAUUAACAGGAUUAAUAUUAAAUAGGUCCAUUUACCCCAUUCAGCCUUAAUCUAUAUAUAUAAAAAUGUAUGUAUGUAUGUAUGUAUGUUCCAGCAAUUUACACCAAACUUGGUACACAUAUGACUUACAAUCUGGAAAAAAAUACUGUGGGGGUAAGACACCCCUAGAGGUGGAGGUGGGAAGGAGGUGACAUGUAAAAAUCCAUAGUAUUCACUAUUCAUAGAUGAAUAGUGAUACUCCCAAUAUUGUUUAAGUACAAGUUCAGCCCCCAUCAGCAUUAGGGGUGAGAAGGGGUGAAAACUAAAAUAUCCAAAAUGACCGACAGUAGUGUCAAAUCCAUAGUUUUCGGGGUCGCAUUUUGAAAAUUCAUAUGUUCCUUAGACUGUCCGUUAACAUAUAGGCUAUGUAUCUUCACGCUUAUUCUUGUAGGGGUUGGGUAGUGAACUUAAACUUGAAGAUGGGCGCAAUGAAAAUAGUCUUAUUGCGUUAAUUCCACGUGGGUGAAGCCGCGGGCAAAAAGCUAGUACUAAAUAAAUAUAAUUCACACAAUAAAUAGGCCAAGUGUCCCCAAUAACAUUAACAUAAUCACAUUCACAUUUAAUAAAUAGUCCUUCUACCACAACUCGGUCCCACCUGCAAAUAAUAGUUCCCAGACCAUCCCAGCAUUAAAUCAAUACAGUAGUCUUAUUACCUCCCUUUAAAUUAAGAGCCUUUUCUCUCCCAUAUAAAUUUAAAUAAAUAGCCUAAAACAUUUCCCCACAAAUAAAUGAAUUGCCUCUACCAUUUUAUUAAAAAGUAAGCAACCUCCAAGGAGUUAUUGCCACCUGUUGGCAUUGUGCUUCAGCUGUUGGUUUCCCACUCCACAUUUGGUGGGACUGUCCAGCCCUACAUCCCUUUUGGAAUUCGAUGAUUUGCAUUUCUAAAGCAAUUGUAGGUGAAGAAGUUAGUACGGAACCUGCUAUUUGGCUACUAAAUAAGGUUGCUGGACCUGUGUCGGCUUACAAGAAAUCAAAAUUGAAACAUCUCCAUUGCAUUACCUCAGCAGUUAUACUGGUUCAUUGGAGGUCUACCGCCCAUCCUACCAUAACAAAAUGGUUCUUUAGAUUGGAGUAUUAUAUGUAAAUGGAAAACCUUAUGUUGUCCGGAGUUGCUAAACUUCGGGAAUUCACCACCGUUUGGGGGCCCUUGCUUAUGUUCAAGGAAACCCAGACUUAUUCCGGCCUCUGGCAAGGUCAAUAAUCAAUCCAUUGAAUAAAUUGCUUACCUCAAUUUAGAGGUUCUUAAAUGCUGUCCUCAAGGUACCCAACGAUCCAGGUUUUAAGAUUAUCCAUGCUUGACCACAGGUGACUUAAGUAUCACCUCAGUAAAUUUGAUUUAACCAUUUGUGUUGUGCCAUGGAUAUACCUAAAACCUGGACCAUUGGGGUGCCUUGAGGACCGUGUUUGAGAACCUCUGCCUUAAUGCCUUCUCAGGUGGCUCCCCCCUCUCUAUCCUCUUACAAUUCUUCCCUUCUUUCUGCUCUUUCCUUCUUUCUCUUUUUUUUGUCUACACUUAUAUUUACUGAUUGCCCUGAAAGAUGAUACCUGAGCAGUACUAUGUUAUGUUUACACGACUUUGUUAUUUUUCUAUCCAUGUGUUAAUGUGUUGGCAAUGGUGCCAUAUUUUGUGGGUGUUGAUGA